rnacentral:misc_RNA from 1 species
GUGGUAGUUGAAAGCUGUCCACAUAGUUUAUUUCAAAUUUCAUCUUCUUUGCAUUUCCAUUGAACAUACGGUUCAGAACAUGGUGAAGAUAUUAAAUACAAAUCCGAAAAUACUAUCUACAUAUCGCUGAAAAAGAAGCAAACUAUGUGGACAGCUUUCAACUACCACAAGAUGGAUGCAGUUACUGCAACCUCUACACAGAUCAGAAUGCAAAAUAUUACAAGUCUGAAAAAUACUGAAAGUGAUUAAUUAACUAUUCCUAAUUCAGCCCAACAGUCCAGUUCAUCUUGUCCUCUGUAAGGCCCAUCUGUAGCCUAGUAAGCGCAGUAUACAGCUGCUGCGAAACAGCACCAAAGCCACCUUCCUCGUAAGACACCCUUUUACCCUUAUAAGUGAUGCUGCCCACAGGUGACACAACCA